rnacentral:rRNA from 1 species
GAGCGGCGGACGGGUGAGUAACGCGUAGGAAUCUACCUAGUAGAAGGGGAUAGCCCGGGGAAACCCGGAUUAAUACCGUAUACCUCCUUCGGGAGAAAGAAGGCCUCUCUUUGAAGCUUUUGCUAUUAGAUGAGCCUGCGUAAAAUUAGCUUGUUGGUGAGGUAAAGGCUCACCAAGGCUACGAUCUUUAGCUGGUCUGAGAGGACGAUCAGCCACAUUGGGACUGAGACACGGCCCAGACUCCUACGGGAGGCAGCAGUGGGGAAUAUUGGACAAUGGGCGCAAGCCUGAUCCAGCCAUACCGCGUGUGUGAAGAAGGCCUUCGGGUUGUAAAGCACUUUAAGCAGGGAGAAAAAGUUAUAAGUUAAUACCCUAUAACCGUGAUGUUACCUGCAGAAUAAGCACCGGCUAAUUCCGUGCCAGCAGCCGCGGUAAUACGGAAGGUGCAAGCGUUAAUCGGAAUUACUGGGCGUAAAGCGCGCGUAGGUGGUUUGUUAAGUUGGAUGUGAAAGCCCUGGGCUCAACCUAGGAACUGCAUCCAAAACUAACUCACUAGAGUACGAUAGAGGGAGGUAGAAUUCAUAGUGUAGCGGUGGAAUGCGUAGAUAUUAUGAAGAAUACCAGUGGCGAAGGCGGCCUCCUGGAUCUGUACUGACACUGAGGUGCGAAAGCGUGGGUAGCGAACAGGAUUAGAUACCCUGGUAGUCCACGCCGUAAACGAUGACAA